AGUUGGUUUGUAGAUUGUUCACAGGCGGUCACAUCUCUCACUAAAUAAGGUUUCAAUACGGUUUAAAUACGGUUGAGCAUAUUAGUUUUUCUUCUUAAAAAAGUGGCGCGAGAUUACAGCUUUUGGAGAGCAGACGCGGUAAAAAGCCCGCUGUCCGUGGGUGACCCACAUGUCAACGAGAAUAAGAUUUUCUUCACUGGACUGAUCCGAGUCGUUCCCCAAAUCCACUGCUUGAGGAGGUGAGCACUCGGAUCCGGCGAGGUGCCGCGAGCGAGGCGCGAUGAGAGACCGGCACUUCGGACAGGGUAAGCGGGCACAUCACGAAUCUGCUUCAAUUCCCUUCUCCUGCUCUCAGAUCUUGCCUUUUCUUCCUAGGAUUUGCGCUCGUUCUCGUGCUUCCCUACGCAUCGUGAACUCAUUUCUUUAGUGGUGACGAUAGCAGCGAUUUGCCCGGAGGGUUCUCGAGGUAUUUCAGCAGUUGUGCUGUUGCGUUGAAUCGAGAAGGAAAGGAGUAGGAGGACUCGCCCCCCAUCCACUGUCUGUGCAAGAAGCUUGUGGAGCUAGGUAGUGUGCAGUUCCGGCGUACUGUAGUGAGGAUCUGACGACAGUUUCACUUCACCUACUUAUCGGAUUUUGAGCUGCCCCCUCAUCACACCGUCGCUGAAUUCCCUAGAAGAAGGCGGCGGGGUAUUGGUGGAAGUGCUGCUGUUGGUGCACAUUCACGGCGACCGGUGUGGCCUGGGGCACGGAGGCCAUGAACGUCUUGUGCCGAUUGUGCGAAAUGGCCAUUCCGUGGUUGCUGCUUGAUUUAUUUCGGGCUUUGGGGAAUUUUCCUAUGGGAGAUCGAUGCCAGGACGGGAAAUGUCUGCAUUAGUUGACAACAAUAGCAUAAUUUGGGAAGCUAGUAAAGCCACCAAUCAAAUCUCAUUUGUUUCAUGAUGAGUCACUACCAUCUUUCUUCCGGAGGUUGGUAUGGUCACCAAAUUGAUGUUUUCUAGUAUUGCCAGCAGGCCUAUUUUCAGCAAAUGCCAUGUCCUCUCAAGUAUGACAAAAUGGAGAUGUGAAGCGUGGACAAUCAGUUGGCACUGCAGCCAUUGGUGGUCCAUUCAAGCCUCUGAAUCAUGAUGGAAAAUUAGAAACUAAUUUGAUGGUACAAAAUGGCAUUCUAGAGAAGGAAACACCUUGCCGCGGUGAUAGCGCCAGAACAGCCGUCGACGGCUUCAAGCUCCUGCGUGUGUUUAUUUGGGCAACAGAACUAGACGUGGAUCACAAGUAGCCGCAUUGUUUAUUUGGGCAACAGAACUAGACGACAUUGGGCGAUGUUGCCUGGGUUCCCAGGUUCGACGGCUUCAAGCUCCUGCGGGAUACCUGACGUUUGGGCAACAGAACUACCCGCAUUGUUUAUGGACCUGGACGUCCAUGCACCUGGACACGUCUUGCCAUUGGGCCUUGUUGCCUGGGUCGCUUCUAAAGGCAGUAAAAUCAUUCACCAAGGAGUCGACGACACAGCUAGCUGAUUUGUCUGCUCUGACGUGUGUGUAAGCAAAUGUUGUAUCAGGUCAUGUUUGUAAGGUGUGGGAAAUGAAGUCUAGGCUUAUGUAGUGCCACAAGUGUUACAACAAAAAACGUAGCAUGCGCUCCUCUGAUUCGUCGACAUUAUAUUAUAUAUUAUAUUUAUUCA